UACAGAGGGGGCAAGCGUUAUUCGGAAUUAUUGGGCGUAAAGGGCGCGUAGGCGGCCUGGCAAGUGGAAGGUGAAAUCCCUCGGCUUAACCGAGGAACUGCCCUCCAAACUGCUUGGCUUGAGACCGGGAGAGGUGAGUGGAAUUCCCAGUGUAGCGGUGAAAUGCGUAGAUAUUGGGAGGAACACCAGUGGCGAAGGCGGCUCACUGGACCGGUACUGACGCUGAGGCGCGAAAGCAUGGGGAGCGAACAGG
rnacentral:rRNA from 1 species